CACGUAGGCUCCAAGCGUUGUCCGGAUUUAUUGGGCGUAAAGAGCUCGUAGGCGGUUUAGUAAGUCGGGUGUGAAAACUCUGGGCUUAACCCAGAGACGCCAUCCGAUACUGCUGUGACUUGAGUUCAGGAGGGGAGCGGGGAAUUCCUAGUGUAGCGGUGAAAUGCGCAGAUAUUAGGAGGAACACCGGUGGCGAAGGCGCCGCUCUGGACUGAAACUGACGCUGAGGAGCGAAAGCAUGGGUAGCAAACAGG
rnacentral:rRNA from 2 species